CUUCUGGCCCCAGCUCCAUCAUUUCUCUGGACAACUAAUAUCCAACUAGAGGAGGAUGACAAAGCAUGGACUCUGUUAUACUUUGAGUCUGACAUUUUUCAUUUCAUUAAUUCCCCAAGCAACCACCACUCCUGCUAGUCUUUUUGCCAAGGAAAAGAGCCUUGAUUUCGUGGUAAUCCAUUGUUACAGAUCGGCUAUAUAUUUAUUGAUGUGGAAAAAGGAGGCCUAAAGCAGAGAAUGAAAGC
rnacentral:lncRNA from 1 species